UACGGGGGGGGCAAGCGUUGUUCGGAAUUACUGGGCGUAAAGGGCUCGUAGGUGGCCAACUAAGUCAGACGUGAAAUCCCUCGGCUUAACCGGGGAACUGCGUCUGAUACUGGAUGGCUUGAGUUCGGGAGAGGGAUGCGGAAUUCCUGGUGUAGCGGUGAAAUGCGUAGAUAUCUGGAGGAACACCGGUGGCGAAGGCGGCAUCCUGGACCGACACUGACACUGAGGAGCGAAAGCCAGGGGAGCAAACAGG
rnacentral:rRNA from 1 species